rnacentral:rRNA from 3 species
AGUUUGUUGUUUUUUAUAAUAAAUUUUUUCUGCCCGGUGAUUUUAAACGGCCGCGGUAUCUUGACCGUGCAAAGGUAGCAUAAUCAUUUGUUCUUUAAUUGGGGACUUGUAUGAAGGAAAGUUUGAGGCUUUUUCUGUCUCUUUUUAAAGUUAGAAUUUGCUUUUUAUGUGAAGAAGCAUAAAUUUUAUAAAAAAGACAAGAAGACCCUUUUAAGCUUGAUUUUUUCUUUUAUGCAUUGAUUUUUAUAAUACUAUAGUAUAAAGGUAAAAAUUUAGUUGGGGUGACUAAAGAAGAUUCAAUCUUCUUUUUUAUAGAAAACGAUUUGUUGAAUAAAGACCCAAAAUUUUUUGGUUGUAAGAAUUAGUUACUAAAGGGAUAACAGCGUAAUCUUUUCAGAGAGUUCUUAUUGAAGAAAAGGAUUGCGACCUCGAUGUUGACUUGCUUUUUCCUUCUAAGGCGCAGGUGUUAAAAGGGUUGGUCUGUUCGACCAUUAAAAUAGU